AAUUAGAUAAGCUAAUUAAAGCUAGUGGGUUCAUACCCCAAACAUGAGAAUUUCUCUCUAAUUA
rnacentral:tRNA from 1 species